GCUAGGCAUGGUGGUGCAUGCCUAUAAUCCUAGCUACUUGGGAGGCUGAGGCAGGAAGAUAACAAGUUUGAGGCCAGUCUCCGGGAUUUAGUGAGACCCUGUCCCAA
rnacentral:sRNA from 1 species